UACUCUGGCAGUGGCAGUUUUCAAAUUUAUUUAGCAAGAUGAAGAUCUUAAUAAUAUUGAUAUUGGCAAGCCUAGGUUACGUUGUAGGCUGGACAGUAAAAAGAGCCAUGCUUGAACAACAAAUACAGGA